AGGGAGAUCAUUUUCGGUUCUCGCUUUCGGAAUACUGUCAUUUCCCACAAUGUUAAAACCCAGAAAUGAAAAACGAACAGCCCCCCGAAGACAACCUCUUACGCAACAUUUUAUGCUCGAAAACAAAUUCACUCUCCAACACGGUCAGAUGAUAAUGUUUGCAACAAAACGUUCCAAUGACUCCUUCACAGGCUUCAGCACCUAUGCUCCGUAUCACUUUGUGAGACCUCAUCAGUUUGCUCAAGUCGAUGACAUAGGUCUUCGGUGGAAGGACAAGCCAAAAAACUUGGUCCAUUAUUGACUAACAUGUUCUUGUGUAGCGACCCGCUGCCCAUC
rnacentral:lncRNA from 1 species